UUGUCCCUGCGGUGUUCGUGACUUGGUCAUAUAUUCUCUGAACCAAUGCUUAUAGCAUUUAGGUUGCGGGUCGAUCGGUGGGUGUGCGUGCCCCUUGUGGGUAUACUCAAAACCGAUUGCGAAGUAACCGUCUUGAACCGAUGGUUCGAGAUGCCGACCUAGACGACACCUGCGGGGCCAUU
rnacentral:other from 1 species